GGUCCGCUGGCUCAAUGGCAGAGCGUCUGACUACGAGCCCUGAAGAGGGUCAGUGAUCAGGAGGUUCCAGGUUCGACCCCUGGGUGGAUCG
rfam:Myceliophthora thermophila ATCC 42464 chromosome 3, complete sequence.